GUCAUUUGAAAACAGGAAAGCAGAAAAGAUGCUGCAUAUUGUUUUUUUCCUCUCCUAAAAAAGGCUGUAAGCUCAUCAUGGGCUGAGUGCCUGCCUGCCGUCCCGGAGGCUUGUGCAGUUGGCCGCAUUCAUCCUCUGAGUUGUCCUUGCCCACCCUUGUUUCUCCCUCCACCUCACAUCAGACUUCCUGUGGCACUUUUAUAAGCUGCCAGAAGGGAAGUGACCUGGUUACGAGUCCAGCUCUGCAAGCUGCCUCAGUAAUGCUUUUCCUCCCCCUGCAUUAAUGCUGUGUGAGCACAACGUCCUCAGCCUUUCAGUGCAUUUGAAGCAGAGACAUUAUGGUCUGCGCUGCAGUUCGUGGUGGUGACAGCUACAAUCAUUGACUUGUGACAGCUCUGUUACGAAGUGCGUAGCCACUGACUUCAGACAGAUGCUCCAGAAUAAGAUUAUAACUGUAUUUCUAUUAUUUUAAUCAGUGGGAACUGCUCACAGCAAGUGCCUCUCUGAGAAUAACUCAUUAAACACAGGAGUUGACCAUGGGAGGAGCCACCUAGAGCCCUGGACGGCAGCACUUACGCAGCAGGAUGCCAGUGUUAUCACUAAGGAAAUGCACACGCUCCACUCUGUGUACGCAAGUGUCCUCACUAGUUCCUGAAGGCAGCAAAAAGAGAAAGUACUACCCAGCCUAGCUCAGUGCUCUUAGUAGUGUUUAAUGCAAUAAGAUGUUCCUGUUCAUUUCUGCUCUUCUAAAUAGUGAGGCAGUCAAUUUGCUCUACUCAAGACUCAAGCUCUGACCCUCCAGUCAUGCUCUGCAAAACUUUACUUCCCCCCUGCUUUGCCCCUUUCUUUGGUUUCUCUUUUCAAAAAAGUUUUGGAUAUAUAAACUCCCUGUAUUAAACUGUCCCUGGAUCCUUCUCGUUCUAUGUGAAACCCAAGAUUGUAAUAUAAUGGCUAAGAUUUUAGGAUUUUUCUUGCCACAACCCAAAUAUCAUAGAUGUUAAAAAUAAUAGCUGGUCAUCCAGUCUGUUUCUUUGACUGAUGCACAGUUAUAUUUUCUUAUCCAAUCUAGAUCUAACCACCUACAGGUUAAUAAUAGGGGUAUCACUUAGGAAGACUACCUGAUACAGUAAAUACAUGAUCUUUUCUUUUCUGGAAUUGUAUCUGAGUUCCCCGUAUCUAAGUUAUUCCCCCUCAGUGAAGCCUUGUGCAAGAACUUGGUGAUGAAAAACAGAGAAAGCAAAAGCUUUAGAAUUGCCCUAUUUUCUUUCUUUUCAUGAACUUCCUUGUUCAGUGUUAGAAGAAAGCCACUUUCUGAAUACUUCCUGUUGUUGCGUGAGAUGAUCUUAGAAGCUGACUCCCUUUCAGCCACUAGAAAUGGCAAAAUAUCUCCCAAACAUCACUAUUCCAGAAGACUUCUGGGACUAGAUCCCAACUGGUAGCAAUCAAUCAGCCCUGUGCCACCAACAAAAGCAGGUCCUCCUUUUCAUUAGAGAAGUGCAUGGAGCUCAAUACAGAUGGCAAAGUAAAAAGCAACCUCAUUUGCUUAGGCCAAGGGGAAAGCAAAAAUGAAAAUCUGCCUGCAAUGAGGAGCAAGAAAGAGGACUACUUUCCAGAAGUAUAUUAAAUAUUUCUCUCUCAAGUUAAGUACAGUAAUAUAAACAGGCAUAUGUUUAUGAAAUCGAGCAUGGAAAUUUCUAUUCAAGACCUAGAGAUCUAGCCCAAACCUGGAUGCAGUCAAUAGGGAUCUUUCUGGGAUAGCCAGCUCUGUGGGCCAUUGCUGCGGAGAGGCUGCUGCAGCACCUCCAUCCUACGAUCCCUGGCCUGGUUCCUUGUGACCUGCUGACAUUUGUCAGUGCCUGCAAAGAGGUGCCCACACAUCCAGGCAAAAUGCAGAGGAGUCAUGCCAGGGCUGUGCUGAGAGAAAAUCCCAUCUCACUUCUCCCAGGCAUGAGGUCUAGACUGAAAAAUAAAAAUAAACCUGUUUGGUGAAAGCAGCUGGAGAACUAUUUCACAUAUGGUGAAAGCAGCUGGAGAACUAUUUCACUUACAAUUUAUUUUCCCCCAGAAUACAAGGUCAUUAUAUUUCAUGAUCCAGUCUUGCUAAACAUUUGAAUUGUGUUUUUUAAAUGUAUUCAACUUUUGUCUCUCUCCCACCUGUAAUAAAAUUUUGUUCUUUUCUGCCCAUAUUUAUCAGCUUUCUAAAUCCUUAUUAUAUGUCUGUUCUCAUCAGGCUUUUUGUAUGUCUUCCAGCUAGCCAUCUUCUAUAAGUUUUGUUAACACAUCAUUAAUUAUUUCCAUGGGUCAUUAAUAGACAAGUUGAAAAAGGAUCCAAAGUUCACUCAAGCUAAGGAAAAGUGUCUCAUUUAUUUUUGUGUUUUGGAUCAAACCUUGAAACUCAUCCUCAAACAAAUCUGUGCACUUGCAGUCUCUUGACAGAUAAUUCUCUACAGCUUGAUAUGCUGGGACUGUACCAUUCAGUCAUGCUUUGCUUAAUGCCACUUGGAAAUGUGUAGUUCUCAUGUCUGUUCCCAUGGAAAGACAAUUUGAAUUAAUUUUUUAGUGUUGUGCUGCUCUGUGAAACACGGAUAUCAAAGGAUUUAGUAAAUGCAAAUCUACUGUGUAUCCUGUAAUCCCUGUUCUCCAUGCCUUUGCUGUCCUAACCAGAACAAAAAGCUCUGAGUAUUCUCUGGAAGUAUUCAAUCUUUGGAAAAGUAUUUCUUACAAUCCUUUCUUGAUAGUCUGAUGCUGGAGGAUUAUCCAUGUUAGCAAGUCCAUGCCCUAUU